UACGUAGGGUGCAAGCGUUAAUCGGAAUUACUGGGCGUAAAGCGUGCGCAGGCGGUUGUGCAAGACAGAUGUGAAAUCCCCGGGCUCAACCUGGGAACUGCAUUUGUGACUGCACGGCUAGAGUGUGUCAGAGGGGGGUAGAAUUCCACGUGUAGCAGUGAAAUGCGUAGAGAUGUGGAGGAACACCGAUGGCGAAGGCAGCCCCCCUGGGCUAACACUGACGCUCAUGCACGAAAGCGUGGGGAGCAAACAGG
rnacentral:rRNA from 1 species